CUGUCUGUCUGUCUAGCACCACAGCUCGGGCGCUGCUGCAGAGGGAAGAAAGAUUUGGGGAGAGGGGCUCAGAGACGGGCUGGGGGUGGGGUCUCCCUGGCUGAUUUUGGCCUGAAAAGGAUAGCUCCUUCGGCUUAGGGACUAGGGCUGGGACUGGGUGACAGGUGGGGAAACAGGCACAGAGAGGGCAGUGCCCAUUCCUGAUGUGGUCUGGAGUGGAGCCUGGGCAGGGUGGUACCACGUGGGUGCUUUAGUCUGUGGGCCACAGAGCCUCGAGACAGAGCACAGGGAGGGAUGGCACGGGGACCCAAGGACCGGGACUGGGAGUCCUUUUACCACCUCCUAGUGGGUGCUCUUAAGUCCAUCGUACGUGUUUCAUGUUCCCCGCGACCGGGGCCCUGCAGAGGCCCAGCCGCCGCUGGACUGCAGGAAGUAUUUAUGAGCACAUCUGUGUGCUGCAAUUGUGUGUCUCUAACGGGGGAGGGGGAGGAGGGGAUUUGGUGGUGAUUAUUUAAGGUAGAGGGCAGCAAGGGGAUGGGGGCAGAAGAAGUGCGGCUCCCGCACGGUUACUGUGCUGCUUGUAUAGGAGAGAGGCACACCCGCCUCAGGGAUGAGAGCGGGUCGGGACCAGAGGCCUGUGGGUAAUUCUCGGUAUCCGCGGGAAGGGAGCAAAGGGAUCCGAGUGGUUUGCGGUCCUUCAUGGUUUUAUUACACAUCGUAGGAGAAUAAAGAAGUUGUAAUGAUGGCCUUGAGUAGAGCAAUUGUGAGACUGUGCUGGACAAAAGACGGUGAUUAAUCCAGGUCCGCUAACCCAACAUCCGCACACAAAAAGCUCUGGGCUAUUUGCUUCCCUUUAAGGGGGCUUUGUGUUCCCUAGAAUGGGCACACUGGGGUUUCUCCUCUGGAGAAGAUCCCCGCUGUGGGGAAGGAAACUGAAGUCCGGCACAAGCCAGGACUGCUGGGCGUCCCCUGUGUAGUUAACAACGAGUAUGGACGCACCGAGGAAGUGAGAGCGCCAACACGCGCCAAUGCGGAGAGCGUGUCUAUGGACAGGUGUUAGGAGCGAUCUGGCUCUACCCAAAGUAGUUGUUAAAAAUAGUGAAACAGACACCCAACUGUGGGUGUGGGUAGGAAGCAUAGCCCCAGGUGUAUUUAAGAAAAGAAAAGUAAAAGGAGUUCCCUGGCGGCUCAGGGGGUGAAGGAUCUGGUGUCGUCAUUGAUGUGGCUCAGGUCACUGCUGUGGUAUGGGUUCAAGGCCUGGCCCUGGAAUUUACAUAUAUAAAUGUCAUGGGAAUGGCCAACAAAAAACCAAAAAAGCCCAGAUGUGUGGAACAGUCAUUGGUCCUGGGCUGAAUGGUGCCUUCGUGUGUAUCUGCCUAUGGUCGGAAAUGAAUUAGACGCGUAAAUAAAAUACAGGACGAAAUCAGAGCAGACCAAGUGGGAACCAUCCAAGAUAAGGUUUUACGAAUUACAGAGUAAGAUGAACACGCUUAUGUAGAAUCGUGGACUGUUUAGAGCAACAAAACCAAAGUUCUCACCUCUGGGAAUAAGAAGCAUCGUUUUAUUGUGUGUUGGAGCUGAGUUCAUGUGUGUUCCCUGUAUUUAAAAAAAAAAAAGUAAAAACGAGAAAAGGGACAAGUAGGAAACAAAGAGGAGAUUACAUCUGGAAUCAAAGCUAAUUAUGGCUUCAGUUCUGAGCCCAUUAGGAAAAAGAUCUGGGCUGGUCCUUCUGUGAGGAGAGCAGCAGAGAGACAGAUGCUUAUCAUGGUCAUUAGUCUUGUUUCUGAUUAGGGUGGUGAAUUCAUGCAUGUUGAUUGUAAUAAAUAACAUGAUUAAACGAAAAAAUAUGCCCAGUGAGCGCUGUGCCUGGGCCGGCAGUGAGUCUGUGUCUUGAAGCAAAGGUUGUGAUUUAUCCUGGGCUGCGCAGCCGUUGGCUGUUAGCAAACAUCUAGGUUGAUUCAUCCUUUUUAACAUCUGCCUUGUGUCCCACAGAACGGAGGCCCCAGAGUGGGUCCCCUGACAUGCCGCUGGUGAAGACCGUGGCCGUGACCUCUGUGGGAAACGAGCCGUGGACCAACCAACGUUAUUACAGAAUAUUGAGUCGAUCUCCUUGUGCUUUACAGAAAGAUUCAAAAAGGACCAAGAAUGGCGAUGGGGAGUGUGGAGUUGCAUGAAGACUAUUGGCUGAUCCUUGUGCCACCAGCGAGGUCCCCUGUAGAAAGAUUCUAUUAGGUCUGAGAGAAAUGAACAAAAAUCACAGAUUCAACAUACCCAAUCUGAUUGACUCAGUGAUGAAGCUGUCAGCUGUCAGUAUCCGUGGAUACACAGCCAAGGGACUCACGUAUAGGAUGAAGAUGAUUUUUAUCUCAAAUGAUUCUGAAAAAGAGGGCAGACUCUGAAGAGUAUGGCGCAUAUAAGGUGGAGGAAGAUUAAUGACUGAUCCUGUUCCACCCUCCUGAGGGCCAUAUAACAAGAUGGGACCUAGUUUCUCCCUGCUUCGAUUAAGUACAUGGAGAUACGCCAGGUGCCGUACUGACUCCCCUCUUCCACUGUGACAGUCAGAGACACCUCGACAUCGGCAAGUGACCGCUGGGGGCAGUGUUGCCCCCACUGAGAAGCAUCAGGAAUGACCCCAGGACAGCACAUUUACUCAUUUUCUAAGGAACAAAAUCUUGGCAGUUAGCUCUGUGGCUUAAGAACAGAGAGAAAUUUAAUGCAAACACAGCAAGCUGAUCUGAUCCUUCUCUGACUGGGAAGACCCUGACUAUUCUGGGACUUAGGAGAUUAAAGGCCAAGGUGAGGAAGCAUCAGUGUUGGUGUUAUUACACCUGCUUUACCAUAAGGACAAAUCAGGCAAAAGGCAGAAGAGCAGGUGGACGCUAAUGAGUGAACAGAGAAUGGCUGAUUUAAUCAUUUAAUAAAGAAUUGCUAUCAUGAGCGAGCAGCAUAAAGUCUAAUAUAAAGUGAAGACACUGUCGCAUUUGGUCGUUAGCCUGUGAUGGAGACCUUGACCUUUGCCUCUCCGGAUAAAGAGAGAAGCGCUCGCUGGUGACGAUGGUGGCCAUGGCUUCCGUGGGUAAAUCGAGGAACAAAAAGGAUGCUGUUCUUGGGUCAGUGAUGACAGUGAGACUUGACUCGACUUCAUGAUUAACCUAGCACCACCAACUGAUGUUCUUUAAGUCAGUCUGGACCCUUUGUCCUUCUGAACGUUGCUCCACAGAAUGAAGGUCACGGCUGAUUGCAUCCGUCUGUUCUGAGGAAGAUCUUGGCUGUUACCUUUCUGGAAUGGAUGUGCAAUGAUUCAAUUAAAGACUAUAGAACUUACAGUGGGUGCUCCAGGUCAAUGUAAGCAUCUUCAAGAGUCCUGCUCUCUCUGGCCGCCUCAACGUGUCCGGAACAUGGAGACUGAUAAUCAACGCCUCAGCUGAUUUCAGCUUCUGCCACGAUCAAGACUGUCCUGCUGCCACCGUUUUGUAAAAGACCAAGACUGAACUCGACGAGAUGACUGGAAAAUUCUCUCAUGGUCACGUUCUCCGGUUGCCUCCACGUCUGGGCGUAUAGAGACCAGAAAAGAGCACUGAACUCACCCAAGCCACCACGUUCAGGACGUCAAGGCAGCAUCUCUGUCCAGAACCAUCAAGUCCAAUGGUGGAUGCUCUCAAGCCGGUGCAGACAUUGCCCGUGGCUUCUCCCGUGUGUGAAGAGCUAGCGAGGAAGAACUGAUGCACCUGAACCGAUUAAGCAUUUGGCCAUCACAGGAGCUGCACUGGUGGUCCUGUGCGCAAAAUGGAUCCUCUAAGCUGAUUUCAACUUCUGUGAUUAAGGUUGUCACGUUGCCUCCGUGUUGGGAAAGAGACAAAGGUUUUCUGGAAGGAUUCCUUCAUUGAUAACGAUGUAAGCUAUUUUCAUGGGAAGGGAAGAACAAGUUGGCGCUAGUGAAUGAACUGAAGUGGUGUUAUCCUUCUGCCCUGGCUCUGAACUCUGUGUCAGGAGCCAAGAGACCAAUAGUGGACCUGCCUGAAGGGGUUUAGCGCCUUCCAUGAUGACAAGCUCUUUGGCGGCAUCUACACAGCAUAAGCGUGGAGACCUGGUGUGCAGCCGCCGGACCUGAAGGCAGGCUCCUUCCUGGAUGAGCAGGCGAGGAUGGCAGCGUUGUCUUUGGAGCCAGAGAACCAGUGGUGGAAGCCGAAGGCCAGGCCAGGCUGCGUGGGGCCGAGACCCCUCCUCUGGCGGUGGUGGCAGGAGAGAUCCCAAGGAGUGGAGCCAUUCCCUGGGGAAGCCCCUGAAAGUGCAACAGUGGGUGUGACAGAGGAGCAGCAAUGGGCUGGAGACCUUCAGGGGCCAGGGACCUCCGUCGUCAAUGUUUGGGUCCCGGCCGGGAUGGAGUUGGGUGAUGGAGAAGCCUGGUCCAGUGACUCUUCAGUGGGAAGACCGGGGCGCAGGGAAGAAGGUGUCACGAGACCGGCCUGGUGGAUGCAGGUUAUCUGAUGGAUGGCUCAAGGGGGCUCGGGCUCUGUCCUGGCAGGGAUCUGUGUCUUUGUGAAGAAACAGCGGCCCCGUUUAGGGGACUGAGUGCAGCCCAGCCCCAGCCCGUCCUCCAACCCCCAAGCCCCGAGGUUCUGCCUCCUUGGGCUCGUAGGAGAAUCACCUGGCCCCAGGGAAGGAGCAGAACCGGCUGACGCUUGAGUCCGCUGAGUGCAGAAAGGGCGAGUCAGUGGCGGUCCUCCUCGCUUUCCCUGUCCCUCUGUCACUGUCCCUGACUCUCUGUCUCGGUGUCUCUGCCUCAGUCUGUCCCUCUUGUCUCUCGCCUGGCUCUCUCUGUCGCCGUACGGGUCUCUUUCCUUUCUGGCAGCUUCGCGUCUGUGUGGUGGGGUGCCCACCGGACCCUGUCGAGCCGAUUGGACCCGUUUCCCUGGUGAGGCCCCUAGACGAUUCCUUCAGUGGGGGAGAUGGCCAAGGAAGCAGUGUGGCAGGCAGCCGCCAGGCCCGAAGGCCGGCUCCUUCCUGGAUGAGCAGGCGAGGAUGGCAGCGUUGUCUUUGGAGCCAGGGGACCAGUGGUGGAAGCCGAAGGCCGGGCCAGGCUCCGUGGAGCCGAGACCCCUCCUCUGGCGGUGGUGGCAGGAGAGAUCCCAAGUUUUGUCCUUGGGCCAGGUGUUUGGAUUUCAUUGCCUUAGUCCUAAAUGGAGUCCCAACAUGAAGGACAUCCCUGCGACUGGAGAGCCCUGCCCCUCCGGGCUCACUAGUGGAGGCCCGAGAACAUGGAUAUUCAUGAGGGUCCCUCCGUGUGGAGUGUGUACCCCUCAGAGCAAUUGCACUGGAGAUGCUUUAGCAUCUUCCGUACGGACCCGAGCUCUGGGAUUGCCUCUGAACAUACGUGUUAGGACAUGGGAGAGUCACAGGACAUGCUCCCCGCUCUUUCGGCUUCUGCUGAGCUCAAGAUUGUCAGGCCGCCUCCGCGCCAGCAAAGAAGCGAAGGAGGGUGCACCGGACCUGAAUGCAGCUUUCUUCCUUGAUGAGCAGGACAGGAGCUCAAAGGGAUGUUGGCCUCCGCUGGGAUGAAGGCUCUCCUCUUGGAGUUGUUCUAGGAGAGACCAAGGGCCACACCCGCGGCAUUUGGAAGUUUCUAGGCUGGGGGUCGAAUCGGAGCCAUAGCCGCCGGCCUACACCACAGCCACAGCAACACAGGAUCCAAGCCACAUCUGCAGCCUACGCCACAGCUCAAGCAACGCUGGAUCCCUAACCCAUGGAGCAGGGCCAGGAAUUGAGCUCCCUUCUUCGUGGAUACCAGUCGGGUUUGUUACCGCUGAGCCACAAUGGGAACUCCCCAGCAUAACUGUUUUAAAAAGAUAUAUUACUGUGAGAAUAAACUUACCUAAUAAGGAUAUCAUGUCUUUUCUAGGGUUUUUGUGAAUGAAUGGUUUUAAAUUAUUUUUAGUGAUUUACUGAAUUUGUCAAUAAGCCACAGAGAAAUGAGUGAAGAAAAAGAGGGACUUAUUGGUGGCAUAUGAGGCAUGUACAGUGCAUGUGUGUCUGGAACUCUGAGGUCCAGUGUGGGUGGAAUCUAGUCCAUUGUCCUGUUUGGGGUGAUUCUAGAGACACAUGUCUAGAAAAUACAAGAAACUCGUUUGUGGGUUUUUAUAUUUAUGUACUUUCUUUUGAAAUAAUUGGAUCAAUGAAAUAAAGAAUAAACAACCCAAUAAAUACAUAAAGAUGAAAACAG
rnacentral:lncRNA from 1 species